rnacentral:lncRNA from 1 species
UUAGAUAUAUAAGCAGCCAUUUUGUUUAGAUACGUGCUCUAACUAGUGAAGGAAAAAGAUUAGCAGCUUAUUUGACAGGAACAACAAAUACUCUUGAUUAUUUUGCACCCUCACCUCCUCAAUUACAUGUUCAUGGUAAAACAGAGAUUUCUAUUGAGUGGGAUCCUCCUAAAAAUCUUCUUGGCAGAUAAAAUUAUUAUGAACUUAAAAUGGAUAACAUGAUGUAAUUACAUCUGUAGGAAAUUCUUCCAGAUGUUAUUGGCUUUUGUGAAAAAUUACAAGACGUAGUUACUUCCAUCGAAAGAUGUUGUUAGGGGUCGUUGAUUUUCCAGAUGAUAUUGGACAGAUGUUAUUAGAGUAAAAAAAAUACAGAUGAUCUUGGACAAAAUUGCACAGAUGAUCUUGGACUAGUCCACAGAUGUUUUUGGACAGCUACGUUAUCGUCUAUUUCAAAAAGAAGAAUCUCUCUCAAAAAGUAAUUUGAAUCGCGGUUCAACGAGUUGUUAGUAUGCGACUAAAUUUAACUUGUAAAGUUAGAAAAUUUAAAGUAAAAAUUAUAAUUAAAAAUAAAAAUGACCA